rnacentral:rRNA from 1 species
UACGUAGGGUGCAAGCGUUAAUCGGAAUCACUGGGCAUAAAGCGCACGUAGGCGGUGACGUAAGUCGGGGUGUGAAAUCCCUCGGCCUAACCGAGGAACUGCGCCCGAUACUGCGUUGCUUGAGGACCAGAGGGGGUGCAUGGAAUUUCCGGUGGAGCGGUGAAAUGCGCAGAUAUCAGGAGGAACACCGGUGGCGAAGGCGGGGUCUCUGGGGCCGAUACUGACGUGAGGAGCGAAAAGCGUGGGGGGAGCGAAACAGGG